UGCUGGGCCUCAUCUAGACGA
rnacentral:siRNA from 1 species